GGCAAGUUGGCCGAGUGGUCUAAGGCGCAGUGUUAAGGAUAUCCUUGAUAAAGAAUUCUAACCAAUUCCCGCUGUCUUCGGGCGUGGGUUCGAAUCCCACACUUGUCA
rnacentral:tRNA from 1 species